rnacentral:rRNA from 1 species
GAUGAACGCUGGCGGCGUGCCUAAUACAUGCAAGUCGAGCGAACAGACGAGGAGCUUGCUCCUCUGACGUUAGCGGCGGACGGGUGAGUAACACGUGGAUAACCUAUCUAUAAGACUGGGAUAACUUCGGGAAACCGGAGCUAAUACCGGAUAAUAUAUUGAACCGCAUGGUUCAAUAGUGAAAGACGGUUUUGCUGUCACUUAUAGAUGGAUCCGCGCCGCAUUAGCUAGUUGGUAAGGUAACGGCUUACCAAGGCAACGAUGCGUAGCCGACCUGAGAGGGUGAUCGGCCACACUGGAACUGAGACACGGUCCAGACUCCUACGGGAGGCAGCAGUAGGGAAUCUUCCGCAAUGGGCGAAAGCUUGACGGAGCAACGCCGCGUGAGUGAUGAAGGUCUUCGGAUCGUAAAACUCUGUUAUUAGGGAAGAACAAAUGUGUAAGUAACUAUGCACGUCUUGACGGUACCUAAUCAGAAAGCCACGGCUAACUACGUG